AAGGAUUUUGGUCUGAUAACUUUGGAGGAACUACAUCAACAGGUGUUGAAGGGAAGGGGCAAGUUCGCCCAGGAUGUCAGUCAGUAGGUCUUGUCUUCCAAUCCCUUGGAGUACAGAAAGAGAGAUGACCUGAUCAGAGCCAUCAAGAAACUAAAGGCACUUGGCACUGGCUUCGGCAUCAUCCCUGUGGGCGGCACUUACCUCAUUCAGUCUGUUCCAGCUGAGCUCAAUAUGGAUCACACCGUGGUGCUGCAGCUGGCAGAGAAGAAUGGCUACGUGACUGUCAGUGAGAUCAAAGCCAGUCUUAAUUGGGAGACCGAGCGAGCGCGGCAAGUGCUGGAACACCUGCUGAAGGAAGGGUUGGCGUGGCUGGACUUACAGGCCCCAGGGGAGGCCCACUACUGGCUGCCAGCUCUCUUCACUGACCUCUACUCCCAGGAGAUUACAGCUGAGGAGGCCAGAGAAGCCCUCCCCUGACUGCGUGUGGAAGGGCACACAGCAGCAGGCAGGGAGGAGGAGGUGGUGGCAAAUAAACCUGGGCAGUUUUGUUUAUAAAAAAAAAAAAUAGAAAAAA
rnacentral:sRNA from 1 species